rnacentral:rRNA from 1 species
AGAACGAACGCUGGCGGCAGGCUUAACACAUGCAAGUCGAACGGUUGUAGCAAUACAGCAGUGGCAGACGGGUGAGUAACACGUGGGAACCUUCCUAGGGGUACGGAACAACUCAGGGAAACUUGAGCUAAUACCGUAUACGUCCGUGAGGAGAAAGAUUUAUCGCCCCUAGACGGGCCCGCGUAGGAUUAGGUAGUUGGUGAGGUAACGGCUCACCAAGCCUACGAUCCUUAGCUGAUCUGAGAGGAUGAUCAGCCACACUGGGACUGAGACACGGCCCAGACUCCUACGGGAGGCAGCAGUGGGGAAUCUUGGACAAGUGGGCGCAAGCCUAGAUCCAGCCAUCGCCGCGUGAGUCGAAGAAGGCCUUCGGGUGUAAAGC